rnacentral:rRNA from 1 species
GACGAACGCUGGCGGCGUGCCUAAUACAUGCCAGUUGAGCGCUUAAGGUUGGUACUUGUACCACCUGGCUGAGCAGCGAACGGGUGAGUAACGCGUGGGGAAUCUGCCUUUGAGCGUUGGACAACAUCUGGAAACGAAUGCUAAUACCGCAUAAAAACUUUAAACACAAGUUUCAAGUUUGAAAGAUGCAAUUGCAUCACUCAAAGAUGAUCCCGCGUUCUAUUAGCUAGUUGGUGAGGUAAAGGCUCAACAAGGCAAUCGUACAUAGCCCACCUGAGAGGGUGAUCGGGCACAAGAGGACUGAGCAGGGGCACAAGCUCCCAAAGGAAGCCACAGUAAGGGAACUUGGGCAAAGGACGAAAGUCUGACCGAGGAAAGCCGCCUGAGGGAAGAAGGGUUUCGGGUCGUAAAACGCUGUUUGUUGGGGAGAACGUUCGUGAGAGUGAAAAGCUCAUAAAGUGACGGUACCUACCCAGAAAGCGACGGCUAACUACGUG